AGAGGAAGAGGGGAUGCAUGAUUUUCAAGAUGUAAGGGUACAGCAAGGACAGGUGUGGUAUCCUGGUUCUGUUACGAUAUAGGUUGAGUCAUCUUCUGUGCUGAGGCAAUUAACCCAUAGCUGUGCAGAUGGGAAGCCAUAUAGACAUUCUUCAAACAGUCUAAGGAGGCAACCUGAAAGGCUAAAACUUGUUUGUGUGAGAAUCCAAAGUUGUAGCUCCAGGACUGCUGGGAGAAUGAACAGCAAAUACAACUGAAGAAAGCAGCAGGUGAAAGAAAGAUCUAGCAUACUGGAAGCCUGGACUGCAUGAACUGGUCAUUUCUCAGAGUAUAUCUACUGUGAUGUUUGCC
rnacentral:lncRNA from 1 species